UACGUAGGAGACGAGCGUUGUCCGGAGUUACUGGGCGUAAAGGGUGCGCAGGUGGCGGCGCGCGUGGGGGGUGAAAUCGCCCGGCUUAACUGGGCGGGGGCCUUCCAGACGGCGUGGCUUGAGCAGCGGAGGGGGACGUGGAAUUCCGGGUGGAGCGGUGAAAUGCGUAGAGAUCCGGAGGAACACCGACGGCGUAGGCAGCGCCCUAGACGAGACCUGACGCUCAGGCACGAAAGCUAGGGGAGCGAACAGG
rnacentral:rRNA from 1 species